UCCAGACUCCUACGGGAGGCAGCAGUGAGGAAUAUUGGUCAAUGGGCGAGAGCCUGAACCAGCCAAGUCGCGUGAGGGAAGACGGCCCUACGGGUUGUAAACCUCUUUUGUCGGGGAGCAAAGCGAGUCACGUGUGACUCAUUGAGAGUACCCGAAGAAAAAGCAUCGGCUAACUCCGUGCCAGCAGCCGCGGUAAUACGGAGGAUGCGAGCGUUAUCCGGAUUUAUUGGGUUUAAAGGGUGCGUAGGCGGAAUGCCAAGUCAGCGGUAAAAUCGCGGGGCUCAACCUCGCUCCGCCGUUGAAACUGGCGUUCUUGAGUGGGCGAGAAGUAUGCGGAAUGCGUGGUGUAGCGGUGAAAUGCAUAGAUAUCACGCAGAACUCCGAUUGCGAAGGCAGCAUACCGGCGCCCAACUGACGCUGAAGCACGAAAGCGUGGGUAUCGAACAGGAUUAGAUACCCGUGUACA
rnacentral:rRNA from 1 species